rnacentral:rRNA from 1 species
AUUGAACGCUGGCGGCAGGCUUAACACAUGCAAGUCGCACGAGUGGCGGACGGGUGAGUAAUGUAUGGGGACUGCCCGAUAGAGGGGGAUAAAUACUGGAAACGGUGGCUAAUACAGCAUACUAUCGGAUAACCCAUAUGGGAUUAGCUAGUAGGUGGGGUAAAGGCUCACCUCGGCGACGAUCUCUAGCUGGUCUGAGAGGAUGAUCAGCCACACUGGGACUGAGACCCGGCCCAGACUCUUCCGGAGGCAUCAGUGGGGAAUAUUGCACAAUUGGCGCAAGCCUGACGCAGCCAUGCCGCGUGAAGGAAGAAGUCCUUCGUGUUGUAAAGUUCUUUCGGUAGCGAGGCGUUAACUACAGAAGAAGCACCGGCUAACUCCGUGCCAGCAGCCGCGGUAAUAC